UGGGAUAUAGCCAAGUGGUAAGGCCUUGGUCUUUGGCACCAAUAUGCGUAGGUUCGAAUCCUUCUAUCCCAG
rnacentral:tRNA from 1 species